GCCUCAUCACAGCAGCACAUAUACUAAAAUUGGAACAAUAGACAAGAUUAACAUAGCCCUUACACAAGGAUGACCCACAGAUUAGUGAAGCUUCCAUAUUUUAU